CUCAGAGUAUCAAUAGAGGAGGAAUGUACAGUGCUCAGAGUAUCAAUAGAGGAGGAAUGUACAGUGCUCAGAGUAUCAAUAGAGGAGGAAUGUACAGUGCUCAGAGAAUCAAAAGAGGAGGCAUGAACAGUGCUCAGAGUAUCGAUAGAGGGGGCAUGAACAGUGCUCAGAGUAUCGAUAGAGGAGGAAUAGACAGUGCUCAGAGUAUCGAUAGAGGAGGAAUAGACAGUGCUCAGAGUAUCGAUAGAGGAG